UUUCUGUAGUAGACCAGGCUGGUCUUGAACUUGAUUUGCCUGCCUCUGCCUCCUGAGUGCUGGGAUCUUAGGUUUCCCUGGUAACGUGUACUACUUCUGAUUACAAUUCUCAGCCCCGAGACUUGUUUCUAGAUCCCUGCUUCCUCUGCUCUGUCCUCAAGGAAGGAGGGAGAUGUCACCCAUAUAACCAUUUCAAGUUUCCCUUCAGGUCUGGGCCCCAUGUCCCCAGCCUAGUUCUUGAACUCUGCAUUCAGGAAAUUCCGGGUUUCCAACCCUCUGACCGGUACCAGUUCAGCUCCAUUCAAUCUGCACAACCUUGAUUCUUCCCAAGGUACCAGAGAAAAAGCUCUUACAGCAAAGGAAGUGGAAACACGUGGGCUUGUUCACAGGUGAACACGGUACAUCUGUCGACCACCAUCAGUAGUUCUGUCUUCCUAACACUGCAACCCCUUAAUCCAGUUCACGUGGUGGUGACCCCCUGCCUCCCAACCACAAGAUUAAUUCGUUGCUACUUCAUAACUGUAAUUUUGCUACUGUUAUUAAUCGUAAACAUCUGAUGAUAUGUAGGCUAUCUGACAUGUGACCCACAGGUUGAGAACUGCUGAAUCAUAGUCUUAUGGGUGUGAGCAAGCAAUUCAGCCACUUGAAGCUUGUCCCCAUGUCUUCAAGUGGUAACACUGAUAACCACUGCCACAGGUCAGCUUGAAGAUUAAGUGAAGCCAUGCAGGUAAAAGGCCCAGCCCAGGGCUUGCCAGAUCGGAUUUGGAGCAGUUAACUCCCAAUAACACGGGACUCAGAAAUGUCGCUGAUGAGCUCAGUGCCUGGUGCAGUCACACCCAUAAGUGAUGCCCUCCUUUGUGGCUUGAAUUCAAUGGCUUCCUCCUGGUAAGUGCAGUGUGGCAGAGGUGACAGGCAAGGUGAGAUCAUAAAGAACCCUAGAAAUGUAGCUGUGAUCACAGCCCUCAAGAAGUGGAGUUAGCAAAAUCAGAAAUUCAGAGGCAUCCUUGGGCUAGCUAGGAAGUUCCGACCAGCCUGGGCUAUAGCAGACAUUAUCUCAAAAAAACAAAACCGCUUCAGGAUGCGGCCUUGAUCUUCAGUCACCGGCUGCUGAGUCACGAGGGCACUUAAGCAACUACAGAGAAUGCCACAGAACUGAAGCUGGCCAACAACCACGGGAGUGAACUUGGAAGCAGAUCUGCUAAGGCCUGCCAGGAGACGCAUACUCGAGGUUAGGAGAGGGCUCUCCAGUUAGGGCAGAGCCUUGAGAAUCCAGGCGGGGCGUGUGAUAACGAUCUCAUGAAAGCCCGGGAACCAGACACUCCACCAAGCUGAGCUCAGACUCCUGACAACAGAAACUGAGACGACCAAUAGCAGCGCUCCAUGCCAACCCCCUGUUAAGGUGGCAUCUGUCCUCAUCCUGUGCUUGGAGCCUGUCAUAUAUGAAUAUGGAACCGAAGUUCUUUGAAGAAGUGACAUGUUCACUCAAGCUCAAGACUUUGCACAUGUUAGGUUUUGCUACGCUGCCCAGGAUAUCCUUGAACUCACUUGAACUUGGAAACCUCCUCUCUCACACUCCCGAGUCGCUGGGACUAUAGGCCUGUAUCUGAAGGUCAGGCUUUGUUGGUUGUUUGUUUGUAGACAGGGUUUCUCUGUGCAGCCCUGGCUCUGCUGGAACUCACUCUGUAGAUCAGGCUGGCCUUGAACCGAUAUCCAUCUGCCUCUGCUUCCUGAGUGCCAAGAUUAAAGGCAAUCACAACCACC